GCAUUGGUGGUUUAGUGGUAGAAUUCUCACCUUCUUUCCAGAAGACUUGGGUUUGAUUCCCGGCCAAUAUA
rnacentral:tRNA from 1 species